rnacentral:tRNA from 1 species
GGGGCAUUAGCUCAGCUGGGAGAGCGCCAGGUUCGCAAUCUGGAGGUCGUGAGUUCGAUCCUCAUAUGCUCCACCA